GACUUUGAAUUAAGUGAAUAGAUCAUGAUAUAGAACCAACACAGGUGAUGGUAGACUUUGUACUUUGUGAGGAGGUCAGGAUAUAGAGCCAACACAGGGGAUGGUAGACUUUGUACUUUGUGUGGAAGUCACGAUAUAGAACCAACACAGGGGAUGGUAGACUUUGUCCUUUGUGGGGAGGUCUGGUAUAGAACCAACACAGGGGAUGGUAGACUUUGUCCUUUGUGGGGAGGUCUGGUAUAGAACCAACACAGGGGAUGGUAGACUUUAUACUUUGUGAGGAGGUCAGGUAUAGAACCAACACAGGGGAUGGUAGACUUUGUACUUUGUGAGGAGGUCAUGAUAUAGAACCAACACAGGGGGUGGUAGCUUUGUACUUUGUGAGGAGAUCAUGAUAUAGAACCAACACAGGGGAUAGUAGACUUUGUACUUUGUGAGGAGGUCAUGAUAUAGAACCAACACAGGGGGGGGUAGCUUUGUACUUUGUGAGGAGAUCAUGAUAUAGAACCAACACAGAGGAUGGUAGACUUUGUACUUUGUGAGGAGAUCAUGAUAUAGAACCAACACAGGAGAUGGUAGACUUUGUACUUUGUGAGGCGGUCAUGAUAAAGAACCAACACAGGGGGUGGUAGACUUUGUACUUUGUGAGGAGGUCAUGAUAUAGAAUCAAUAUUUGCUAAAUUAAAUUAUCUACUUUGUGAAACUA